UCAAUCCUAAUACUUCUAACAAAUUAUGAACUAACCUAAUCACAAUCUAGAUUAACAACUCAACAUCAAGAUUAAUCAAAAUUAAAAAGAAUUACAAAAUAAAUUAAAUUAAGAUUAAUCAUGGAUUAAUAAGGGAUUAAGGACAAAUCAAUGGGCCACAGGUGUGAGGUGAAAUUAGAGGGGUGUUUAAGAAAGAUGGUGUUUGGGCCAUGAGAUUGCUGGCAAAAAGCCCAAUCUUCCAAAAGAACUCCAAGAACCGAGUUCCCUGAAAGACCAACAAUGUACCUUCAGCCUUAGAUCAAAAGGAAGCAAAACUCCUCCUGAAGAGAACUCAACAUAUGAAUGAGAAAUAUGAUUCGCUUGCACAGGUCCGAUACGAAGCGUUCAUCAUCAUCGGGAAUCCAAUUCCUCCUCCACACGCGCCAACCAUCAUAAGACCCACCAAAGGUUUCAAGGAAUCAACCUCACCGAAUUUUUUUGAAACUGUGGCUUCAGGUUUUUAUCGCCCUCCUCGAUUAUGCUUCUGUUUGAAUCCCCUUUCUAAUUUCUUCUUUGUAUUUCUGUGUUCCGCUUCUAUUGUCAUUGUUCUGCCUGCUUCUUCUUCUUCUUCUCUGCUAGCGUUGUUAUCAUUCUAUUACGUUGUUGUUCUUCAUUGCCUAGUUUCAUUCAGAGAAGGUUGUUGAAGUUCAAAGAGGGUUUGAAGGAGUUUCGAGGGAGUUUGCAGAGAAACUAGUGGGUUAUGUUAAGGGUCGUUGAGAAGUUGAGGAAGUAAAGUUCUGUUAUGGAGAAAUUGGUUAGUGGAGGUGGUUGUUUUAGGAAUGGAGGUUGGGGUUAGUUCUGUUUGGCUUUGGUUCAAGGUUGUGAGAGUGGUUCAGAAGGUGUGAGGAAUGCUUAAGGUGUAUUCUGAAGAAGUUUGUUAGAGGAGGAUUUUUUGGGAAUUGGUUCUGGACUGGAGUUACAGAGUUGAAAUUCGGUUUUUUGGGUGUUUCCAUUCGGUUAGGGGUGGUUUGGAAUUCGGUUUUUUGGUUGAAAUUCAGUUUAAGGUGGUUAUCCUAUUCUGUUAUUAGUUGGAAAAGUUUGUUGAGGGAAUGGUUUUGGAAGCAGUUAGAAGUUUGUUUUCAAUUUGAUGUUGAAGUUGGAGCUUUCGUUUUAUCAAGGUUCAGGGAAUUCGGUUGCUUUGUUCAGGUUCUUGUUGUGGAGUUGUUAUUCUUUUAUGGAGAGCCAUUCAUUUUCUGGAUAGAAUCAUUUGCAGACUCCUAUGAUUCAAACUGGAUGUAACUAAACCCUUUGCUCUUCCCAUCUUCAGACAUUUCAAUUUCGCUAGACUAAAUAUUCCCAUUGAAAUAAAUCAUAUAGUCUCACAUUAUCUAUGGAUUCUUAUAAGAUCUUAACAAACACAUUCCCUUUUACACUUGGGAAUGCUUGUGAUAAUGAUUUGAAUUCUAUGUUCCAUUUGCAAGUAUCGAAUCGUGUUAGACAUGUUGAUCAUGUGGAAUUGGAUGCAAGGAUAUGAAGCGUGGAUUGGAUCGCUUGGAAGAGCUUGGUUAGACAUGUCAUUGUUGUAUUCUUUGUUGUGAUGUGAAAUGAAAUAUGUGAAUUGAAAAUGGAAGUAUACAAUGGAAAUUGGAAGUAAUUGGACAUGAAAACGUAUGUAUGAAAAAGAGUUUUGAAAUGUUUGGAAGUUAAAUAUUAUUGAAUGUUUGGAAAUUAGUGUAUGUAUGGUUUUGAUUUGAAAUGAA